rnacentral:rRNA from 1 species
UGAGGAAUAUUGGUCAAUGGGCGAGAGCCUGAACCAGCCAAGUAGCGUGCAGGAUGACGGCCCUAUGGGUUGUAAACUGCUUUUAUAUGGGAAUAAAGUGAGGGACGUGUCCCUUAUUGCAUGUACCAUACGAAUAAGGACCGGCUAAUUCCGUGCCAGCAGCCGCGGUAAUACGGAAGGUCCAGGCGUUAUCCGGAUUUAUUGGGUUUAAAGGGAGCGUAGGCUGUUUGUUAAGCGUGUUGUGAAAUGUAAGAGCUCAACUUUUAGAUUGCAGCGCGAACUGGCAGACUUGAGUGCGCACAACGUAGGCGGAAUUCAUGGUGUAGCGGUGAAAUGCUUAGAUAUCAUGACGAACUCCGAUGGCGAAGGCAGCUUACGGGAGCGAAACUGACGCUAAAGCUCGAAGGUGCGGGUAUCGAACAGG